AGUGAACGCUGGCGGUAGGCCUAACACGUGCAAGUCGAGCGAGUGGCGGACGGGUGAGGAAUACAUGGGAAUCUACCCGGUCGUGGGGGAUAACGAAGGGAAACUUAGGCUAAUACCGCAUACGAUCGAAUGAGCCGAUGUCGGAUUAGCUAGUUGGGGGGGUAAAGGCUCACCAAGGCGACGAUCCGUAGCUGGUCUGAGAGGAUGAUCAGCCACACUGGAACUGAGACACGGCCCAGACUCCUACGGGAGGCAGCAGUGGGGAAUAUUGCACAAUGGGCGCAAGCCUGAUCCAGCCAUACCGCGUGGGUGAAGAAGGCCUUAGGGUUGUAAAGCCCUUUUGUUGGGAAAGCGGUACCCAAAGAAUAAGCACCGGCUAACUUCGUGCCAGCAGCCGCGGUAAUUC
rnacentral:rRNA from 1 species